rnacentral:lncRNA from 1 species
AGAAAAAAACAUUACCACCUCCAUCCUUCCUUUCUGGUCCCAUAGAAAAAAACAUUACCAUCCUCUUCCUGUCUGGGUCCCAUAGAAAACAACAUUACCAUCUCUUCCCUGUCGGGUCCCAUAGAAAACACAUUACAACUCUUUCCUGUCGGUCCCAAGAAAACAACAUUACCACCACCUCUCUUCCUGUCUGGUCCCAUAGAAAACAACAUACACCUCCAUCUUCCGGUCUGGUCCCAUGAAAACAACAUUACCACCUCUUCUUCCUGUCGUCCCAUAGAAAACAACAUUACCACCUCCAUCUCUUCCUGUCUGGUCCCAUAGAAAACAACAUUACCACCUCUCUUCUGUCUGGUCCCAUAGAAAACAACAUUCCACCUCCUCUCUUCCUGUCUGGUCCCAUAGAAAACAACAUUACCUACCACCCUCUUGGGGGUCCCAUAGAAAACAAAUUACCAUUUCUUGUUGGUAUAGAAAAC